rnacentral:rRNA from 1 species
GCCUUGCCGUAAACUUUCAUUUACACCUCAAUCGCCCGGGAACUACAAGCAAAGCUUAAAACCCAAAGGACUUGACGGUACCCCAUAUCCCCCUAGAGGAGCCUGUCCUAUAAUCGAUAACCCCCGUUUAACCUCACCAUUUUUAGUACAUCAGCCUGUAUACCUCCGUCGUCAGCUUACCACGUGAGCGCAACUUAGUGAGCUUAAUGCCUAUACACCAAUACGUCAGGUCAAGGUGCAGCAAAUGAAAUGGGAAGAGAUGGGCUACACUUUCUAGUAUAGAAUACACGAAAGACUACCUAUGAAACCUAGUCAGAAGGCGGAUUUAGCAGUAAAAAGAAAUUAGAAUGUUCUUUUUAACUUGGCACUGGGGUGUGU